rnacentral:rRNA from 1 species
CAAACGGGUGCGGAACACGUACACAACCUUCCUUCAAAUGGGGAAUAGCCCAGGGAAACUUGGAUUAAUACCCCGUAACAUUAUGAAGUGGCAUCACUUUAUAAUUAUAGCUCCGGCGUUUGGAGAUGGGUGUGCGGCUGAUUAGGUAGUUGGCGGGGUAACGGCCCACCAAGCCUUCGAUCAGUAACUGGUGUGAGAGCACGACCAGUCACACGGGCACUGAGACACGGCCCAG